rnacentral:rRNA from 1 species
CAGCAGCCACGGUAAUACAGAGGGUGCGAGCGUUAAUCGGAUUUACUGGGCGUAAAGCGUGCGUAGGCGGCUUUUUAAGUCGGAUGUGAAAUCCCUGAGCUUAACUUAGGAAUUGCAAUCGAUACUGGGAAGCUAGAGUAUGGGAGAGGAUGGUAGAAUUCCAGGUGUAGCGGUGAAAUGCGUAGAGAUCUGGAGGAAUACCGAUGGCGAAGGCAGCCAUCUGGCCUAAUACUGACGCUGAGGUACGAAAGCAUGGGGAGCAAACAGGAUUAGAUACCCCUGUAGUCCCUGUCUCUUAUAC